CUACGGGUUGCACCAGUGAGGAAUAUUGCACAAUGGGGGAACCCUGAUGCAGCAACGCCGCGUGGAGGAUGACGCAUUUCGGUGUGUAAACUCCUUUUAUAUGUCAAGAAAAUGACGGUAGCAUAUGAAUAAGCACCGGCUAACUCCGUGCCAGCAGCCGCGGUAAUACGGAGGGUGCAAGCGUUACUCGGAAUCACUGGGCGUAAAGGACGCGUAGGCGGGUUGGAAAGUCAGGUGUGAAAUCCUACAGCUUAACUGUAGAACUGCACUUGAAACUUCUAAUCUAGAGUAUGGGAGGGGGAGAUGGAAUUAGUGGUGUAGGGGUAAAAUCCGUAGAUAUCACUAGGAAUACCUAAAGCGAAGGCGAUCUCCUGGAACAUUACUGACGCUAAGGCGUGAAAGCGUGGGGAGCAAACAGGAUUAGAUACCCCUGUAGUC
rnacentral:rRNA from 1 species